rnacentral:rRNA from 1 species
GAUGAACGCUAGCUACAGGCUUAACACAUGCAAGUCGCGGGGCAGCAUGGUGGUUGCUUGCAAUCCCCGAUGGCGACCGGCGCACGGGUGGGUAACGCGUAUUCAACCUGCCCUUCACCACGGGAUAACCCGGCGAAAGUCGGACUAAUACCGUAUGUUGUCCAUUAACGGCAUCCUAAUUGGACGAAAUGCGUGGCGCAGAGGGAUGGGGAUGCGUCUGAAUAGCAUGACGGCGGGUUAACGGCCCACCGUGGUUACGAUCGGUAGGGGUUCGGAGAGGAAGGCUCGCCACACUGGAACUGAGACACGGUCCAGACUGCUACGGGAGGCAGCAGUGAGGAAUAUUGGUCAAUGGGCGUAAGCCUGAACCAGCCAAGUAGCGUGCCGGAUGACGGCCCUAUGGGUUGUAAACUGCUUUUAUGCUGGGAUAAAGUGGACCCCGUGUGGGAUUUUGCAGGUACCGCAUGAAUAAGGACCGGCUAAUUCCGUG